UCUUUAUUAGUGCAUUUUCACUGGUGGUAAUUGUAAAUGAAUUUAUUCUCCAGUAUUCAUUCAAAUACCUGUGCAAUUCUGGACCAGUAGUUUGUGCGGCUCUUGCAUUUUCAAGAUUCAUUUUCUAAUCAGUGAAAUAAUUUUCUUCUCUCCAGUGCUAGGACAGGCGAAAUGGAGUAGAGGGAGUUGUUAGCUGUGACAUGCUGCCUCUUUUUCAUCUUUCUGAGAAAGGCAAAAAAAAAAAAAAACCAACCCAACAAAACACCUUAGCAUCAUCUUUCUUCACCCUAAAAGGAAACAGACACUAAUCAACAUUCAGUUCUGCUCCCAAGUUCAGCAACUCAGUUGUCCACAGUGUCAUAGUGCUGUCUGUUACAUGGCUCCUAAUCAUGAAGUCUUCUUAAAAGAGUGGCAAGCACCUUUGGUGUAUACCAGGUUUGAUCUGAUGCAUUGCCCACAACCAUCAGAAGGGAGAAAUGAUAAUGUGUUUGGAAAAUAUUGAAAUGAGUGUUCUGAGCUUCCUAACCUUAUUGGGUUCUGCUCUUUGAAAAGACAACUGUACAUAUCUAAAGAGAACUUUUUGGACCAGCAGGAACAAAACAG
rnacentral:lncRNA from 1 species